AUUCUAUGUACCAGGCUCUAUUCUAGAUACUGAGGAUACAGCCCUGAAAAGACCAACAUGAUUUAAACCCACGUGGAGCUUCUUGGGACCUACAUUAACCACAUAGUGGGGCAGAAGAGACGCUGCACACGUCUAGAGCUUAUACCUUGAAAAACUUUGCAGCUUCCAUUUUCACUCUUUUGGAACUCUGCCCCAAGACCACCACACCAGAAGAAACUCUGAAAGAAAACCCACAGAAUGAGAGAGACUUAGCCACCUGGCUGUCCCGGCUGAGCCUUCAGCCACGUGCAGCUUCAUGAGCAAACCCAGUGAGGGAGCCAGCUUCCAUGUCAUGAGGGACUGAAACCUUCUGAC
rnacentral:lncRNA from 1 species